UUAAUGGCCUGGUGUGGGUCUAGACCUAUAGCAAUUGACUGUAAUAUGAUAUAUUAAAUGCUAUUAUAGAAAUAAGUACAAGGUGCUAUGAAGGAAUGAAUAAGUAGCUAUAGAAGUCUGGAUACAGCAUGAAUUCAGCUCUCUGAGUCCAGAUUUCACAUGCAUGGAAACAUCUACUACCUUGAUCUCUCGUCUGCAAAAGAAUGACACUACAGUGAUCUUCAAUGUUUUGGUAAAGAGAGGGUCCUCUGAAUCCUUUGAAGUCUCACAGGUAAUGUGUGGGAGGGAAGAAGAGUGCGCCAUGGACUCUGAAAUGACAAAGGAGAUAAUCUUUCAUUUCCACCUAAAAUGUCAAGGGAGGAGGUUGGAGUGUUUGGGCCUGAAAAUACAUAACAAGAAAUAAAAGUUUUCUAGAAAGAAGAGGAAGGUUUAUUGCUUCCAACAUGAAAGCCAAUACCUUUCACAUUAGGGUCCUCUUCUGGCGUGUAACUGAGGAUGCUGAUUCCACAAAUCAAAUGCUCCUCUCCGAUGGCAACAAGAAUGGCAUGAAUAUGUGGACAUAAUGGGGCUUAUAAAGUUCAGCAGGGUCAAGUCUAGCCCUCAUAGACUGGAGUGGAGGGUUCUCCCAGGAUAGCACUUGGCAUAUGGACAAGGCAGAAGUGUUCAUCUUUGUUGAUUGCUAAUUGCAAUUCAUCGUCCUCAAUGUGAAGACACUAAAACAACUUGGACAAACUGCUUGACUUCAAGGAAUAUAAAGAGAUCUCACCUUUUGGGAUCUACAAUUUUGUAGAGUUUUCCAUUGUGAGUCUGGGUCAUACUUUUACUACUUGAUAGAAUGUAAACUUCACCUGUGAAAAGUGAAAUACAGUAAGUUAAUUUACAGUAUUAUAAAGCCUUACUUCCUA